GACGUAGGGGGCGAGCGUUGUCCGGAUUUAUUGGGCGUAAAGCGUGCGUAGGCGGCUGCGCAAGUCGGGUGUGAAACCCCGGGGCUCAACCCCGGAACUGCAUCCGAUACUGCGUGGCUAGAGGUAGGUAGGGGAGAUCGGAAUUCCUGGUGUAGCGGUGAAAUGCGCAGAUAUCAGGAGGAACACCGGUGGCGAAGGCGGAUCUCUGAGCCUUACCUGACGCUCAGGCACGAAAGCUAGGGGAGCGAACAGG
rnacentral:rRNA from 1 species